rnacentral:rRNA from 1 species
UACGUAGGGUGCGAGCGUUAAUCGGAUUUACUGGGCGUAAAGCGUGCGCAGGCGGCCCGUUAAGACAGGUGUGAAAUCCCUGGGCUCAACCUAGGAAUUGCGCUUGUGACUGGCGGGCUCGAGUACGGUAGAGGGGGGUGGAAUUCCUGGUGUAGCAGUGAAAUGCGUAGAGAUCAGGAGGAACACCGAUGGCGAAGGCAAUCCCCUGGACCUGUACUGACGCUCAUGCACGAAAGCGUGGGGAGCAAACAGG